AAAGCAGGCUGGGCAGUCGCGGGGGCAUAAUGUCCUCGAGGAAAGUCCGAGCUCCAUAGGGCAGGGUGCUGGGUAACGCCCAGUGAGGGUGACCUUAAGGAAAGUGCCACAGAAAUUAAACCGCUCUUUUUGGAUGUUGGAAGUUAGAGGUUAGAAGUUGGAUAGACACCCAUGUCGCUCGCGGCAUCAUCAGAAGGAUGAAAAUGCGCCUUAGCUGGCCCUCACACUAGCCCUCUCCCGCAGGGAGAGGGGAUAAGCUGGGCAGAGGUGACUGUUGGUGGCUAUUUUCAGGGCAGAAGAGCUUAGAUCCAAUUUCCAACUUCCAAUUUCCAACAUCUAGGAGGAGUAAGGAUGAAACGGUGCGGUAAGAGCGCACCAGCGGUCAGGCGACUGGCCGGCUAGGCAAACCCCACCCGGAGCAAGACCAAAUAGAGGAGAGUUGACGUUGCUCGCCGAUCUCCCGGGUUAGGUCGCUAGAGGUGUCAGGCAACUGCCACCCCAGAGAGAUGAUUGCCGCCCCGCAAGGGGAACAGAACUCGGCUUAUAGGCCUGCUCUGCAU
rnacentral:RNase_P_RNA from 1 species